rnacentral:rRNA from 1 species
UUCGCAAUGCCCGAAAGGGUGACGAUGCGACGCCGCGUGCAGGAUGAAGGCCCUCGGGUUGUAAACUGCUGUCACACGUUAUGAACAAGUCCGGGUUAAUACCCCGGUUCCCUGACGUAAGCGUGAGAGGAAGCCACGGCUAACUUCGUGCCAGCAGCCGCGGUAAGACGAAGGUGGCAAACGUUGCUCGGAAUUACUGGGCAUAAAGCGCGUCUAGGUGGCUUGGUAAGCGGAGAAUGAAAUCCCAUGGUUCACCCAUGGAACUGUUCUCCGAACUGCUUUGCUUGAGGACGGGAGGGGGAAGUGGAAUUCCUGGUGUAGCGGUGAAAUGCGUAGAUAUCAGAAGGAACACCGGUGGCGAAAGCGACUCUCUGGCUUGUUUCUGACGCUGAGGUGCGAAAGCGUGGGUAGCAAACAGGAUUAGAUACCCUGGUAGUCCACGCCGUAAACGAUGGGCACUAAGUAGAGGGGUUUU